AUACGUAGGGGGCGAGCGUUGUCCGGAAUGAUUGGGCGUAAAGGGCGCGUAGGCGGCCCGGUAAGUCUGGAGUGAAAGUCCUGCUUUUAAGGUGGGAAUUGCUUUGGAUACUGUCGGGCUUGAGUGCAGGAGAGGUAAGUGGAAUUCCCAGUGUAGCGGUGAAACGCGUAGAGAUUGGGAGGAACACCAGUGGCGAAGGCGACUUACUGGACUGUAACUGACGCUGAGGCGCGAAAGUGUGGGGAGCAAACAGGAUUAGAUACCCUGGUAGUCCACACUGUAAACGAUGAAUGCUAGGUGUAGGGGGUAUCGACCCCUUCUGUGCCGCAGUUAACACAAUAAGCAUUCCGCCUGGGGAGUACGGCCGCAAGGUUGAAACUCAAAUGAAUUGACGGGG
rnacentral:rRNA from 1 species